UGGAGGAACAGCCACAGUGGCGGUGGCAGCUCUGCAGCCCUGGAGUCAGCUCCCGCAGGAACUCCGGAGCUCUCCGUCUGCAGGGCCUGGAGGCUCUGGGGUGGG
rnacentral:pre_miRNA from 1 species